UGUAAAUAUAUAUUAACGUACGAGUGAGAGUGAUAAGUUUGAACAAACUCUCGCGAGCAGCACUACUGAGAAAAUAUUUUCAACAAAAUGUCAUGAAAAGCGAAGCAAAGUCAAGUCAGUCGUAGAAUUUGGUGGUUGAGAGCAAGUACAUGUACGAUCGGAACGAUAAAAAUCCUCAUCAUAUUAGCAAGCAUCAUAAAGAGAUAUUAAGAUGAGUGAAACGGCAAAAAUAAAAUGCGGAAUUUUGACCGUAUAUAACGGAAAAAAUGCACAGGAAGAUUUAACAGCAUAUAGUACAGAGAUGAGCGGUUUGAUAGAUUAUAUUAAAAAUACAAUAAAGCUAAAAUGUGACGGAGAAAUAAUUGAUACAUUGCUACUAUUUAAUAACAUGAUGG